AGAAAAUAGAUACCCCGGUAGUCCAUGCCGUAAACUAUGGAUACUAGCUGUUGGGGGUAUCGACCCCUCCAGUAGCGAAAGCUAAACGCGUUAAGUAUCCCGCCUGUGGAGUACGAUCGCAAGAUUAAAACAUAAAGGAAUUGACGGGGACCCGCACAAGCGGUGGAGCGUGCUCUUUAAAUUCGAUGCUAAACGAAGAACCUUACCAGGGCUUGACAUCCCUUGAAUUACUCCGAAAGGAGUGAGUGCUUUAUUGAGCAAGGUGACAGGUGAUGCAUGGCCGUCGUCAGCUCGUGUCGUGAGAUGUUUGGUUAAGUCCAUCAACGAGCGCAACCCUUAUACUUAGUUGUAUUUUUCUAGGUAGACUGCCCCGGGUAACGGGGUAGGAAGGGGGGUAUGAUGUCAGGUCAGUAUUUCCCUUACGUCCUGGGCUAGAAACGCGCUACAAUGGCCGGUACAAUGCGGAGCU
rnacentral:rRNA from 1 species